UUUAGAGGAAGUAAAAGUCGUAACAAGGUUUCCGUAGGUGAACCUGCGGAAGGAUCAUUAUUGAAAUCGUUCGUGGAAAGGCUGUUGCUGGUCUCUGAUAUCUGUGCACGCCUUUUCCGUUCGCUUCUUCCACACACAACCCAGUGCAUCUUUUGUAGGUUGAGAGAUUGACCUAUGCUUUUUUUAAAAAAUAAUAAUAAUUCAUUCAUUGGAAAGUGCACAUAUAUAUAAAAUACAACUUUCAACAACGGAUCUCUUGGCUCUCGCAUCGAUGAAGAACGCAGCGAAAUGCGAUAAGUAAUGUGAAUUGCAGAAUUCAGUGAAUCAUCGAAUCUUUGAACGCACCUUGCGCUCCUUGGAAUUCCGAGGAGCAUGCCUGUUUGAGUGUCAUGAAACCUUCAAAACCUCUUUUUCUUUCAAAGGGAGAGGGAGGGCUUUGGAUUGUGGAGUUGUGUGCUGGAAAGAGAGGGCAACUCUCAUGUCAGCUCCUCUAAAAUGCAUUAAGCUUUUUGCCUCACACAGACGAGAAAAUAAGAGCUUGUUGGUAUGAUAAUCAUUUGUCUAUGCCCACUUGCCAGUCUGCGUGUGCAGGUAUGCUAACACACAAGAAUCAUCAUCUUUGACCUCAAAUCAGGUAGGAUUACCCGCUGAACUUAAGCAUAUCAA
rnacentral:rRNA from 1 species